CUUGAUCGAGCCGAGCCGCAGCGGCCGUCCGUCCGGCCGUUCCCUGCCGUAGGUGGCCAGCAGCGCCUGCGCCUC
rnacentral:antisense_RNA from 1 species